rnacentral:rRNA from 1 species
UACGUAGGGAGCAAGCGUUGUCCGGAAUCAUUGGGCGUAAAGCGCGCGUAGGUGGCCCGGUAAGUCCGCUCUGAAAGUCAAAGGCUCAACCUUUGAAAGCGGGUGGAUACUGCCAGGCUAGAGUCCGGAAGAGGCGAGUGGAAUUCCUGGUGUAGCGGUGGAAUGCGCAGAUAUCGGGAGGAACACCAAUGGCGAAGGCAGCUCGCUGGGACGGUACUGACGCUGAGGCGCGAAAGCGUGGGGAGCAAACAGG